rnacentral:rRNA from 1 species
GAGACGCUGGCGGCGUGCCUAACACAUGCAAGUCAACGGAGUUAAGACUUCGGUUUUAACUUAGUGGCGAACGGGUGAGUAACGCGUGAGAAACCUGCCUUUCGGUGGGGGACAACAGUUGGAAACGACUGCUAAUACCGCAUAAUGUUAUUUGGGGGCAUCCUUGAAUAACCAAAGCUUUAUUGCUGAAAGAUGGUCUCGCGUCUGAUUAGCUAGUUGGUGAGGUAAACGGCUCACCAAGGCGACGAUCAGUAGCCGGUCUGAGAGGAUGAACGGCCACAUUGGGACUGAGAUACGGCCCAGACUCCUACGGGAGGCAGCAGUGGGGAAUAUUGGGCAAUGGGGGAAACCCUGACCCAGCAACGCCGCGUGAAGGAAGAAGGCCUUCGGGUUGUAAACUUCUUUUAGUAGGGACGAAGAACGUGACGGUACCUACAGAAAAAGCAACGGCUAACUACGUG